CCCUCCACACUGGAACUGAGACAAGGACCAGACUUUUACGGAAGGCAGCAGUGAGGAAUAUUGGUCAAUGGAGGAAACUCUGAACCAGCUAUGCCGCGUGUAUGGAUGACAGUCUUUUAGAUUGUAAACUACUUUUACAUAGAAAUAAAAGUUACUACGGGAUAGUAAUCUGAAGGUACUAUGAGAAUAAGUGUCGGCUAAUUUCGUGCCAGCAGCCGCGGUAAUACGAAAGACACAAGCGUUAUCCAGAUUUAUUGGGUUUAAAGGGUGUGUAGGCUGUUUAUUAAGUCAGUAGUGAAAGCUUACAGCUUAACUGUAAAAAUGCUAUUGAUACUGAUAAUCUUGAGUAAGAUUGGAGCAUCUGGAAUGUAUGGUGUAGCGGUGAAAUGCAUAGAUAUCAUACAGAACACCAAUAGCGAAGGCAGGAUGCUAAAUCUUUACUGACGCUGAGGCACUAAAGCGUGGGGAGCAAACAGGAUUAGAUACCCUGGUAGUCCACGCCCUAAACGAUGAUCACUAGCUAUUGGAAAAAUUAUAUUCAGUGGCUAAGCUAAAGCGAUAAGUGAUCCACCUGGGGAGUACGAUCGCAAGAUUGAAACUCAAAGGAAUUGACGGGGUUUCGCACAAGCGGUGGAGCAUGUGGUUUAAUUCGAUGAUACGCGAGGAACCUUACCAAGGUUUAAAUGUUUUACGAAUAAGCUGGAAACAACUUAGUCUAUAAGACGUAGAACAAGGUGCUGCAUGGUUGUCUUCAGUUCGUGCUGUGAAGUGUUUGGUUAAGUCCUAUAACGAGCGCAACCCCUAUUGUUAGUUGCCAUCGGGUAAAGCCGGGGACUCUAACAAAACUGCCGGUGUAAAUCGUGAGGAAGGUGGGGAUAAUGUCAA
rnacentral:rRNA from 1 species